AGUGAACGCUGGCGGUAGGCCUAACACAUGCAAGUCGAACGGCAGCACAGUAAGAGCUUGCUCUUACGGGUGGCGAGUGGCGGACGGGUGAGGAAUACAUCGGAAUCUACUUUUUCGUGGGGGAUAACGUAGGGAAACUUACGCUAAUACCGCAUACGACCUACGGGUGAAAGCAGGGGAUCUUCGGACCUUGCGCGAUUGAAUGAGCCGAUGUCGGAUUAGCUAGUUGGCGGGGUAAAGGCCCACCAAGGCGACGAUGCGUAGCUGGCCUGAGAGGAUGAUCAGCCACACUGGAACUGAGACACGGUCCAGACUCCUACGGGAGGCAGCAGUGGGGAAUAUUGGACAAUGGGCGCAAGCCUGAUCCAGCCAUACCGCGUGAGUGAAGAAGGCCUUCGGGUUGUAAAGCCCUUUUGUUGGGAAAGAAAAGCAGCAGGUUAAUACCCCGCUGUUCUGACGGUACCCAAAGAAUAAGCACCGGCUAACUUCGUG
rnacentral:rRNA from 1 species